CCCUCACUCAUCACUGAACAAGAAGGUCAGUCUAGUGCCCUUUGGAUCUCUGGACCUUACAGUCUCACUCUUGGGUAUCUGACAGGAGCCUGGGCCUGGGCCACAACCAAAGACUGCCCUACCUCUCAGGGCUCCUCAGGAUGAAGACAGCCUGGAAAAGACAAGCUGACCUCCCAGGUGUGGGUUUUCCUUUCCCCCAGCCACAGACCAGGGGCCUCCCAGAAGAAAUUUGGAAAUGUCCACAAAGAACCAAAAGAGACUUGAUCUACAAAUUAUUUUUUUUUCCCCAAAAAUACUCUGAGCCGGACAUUCUUUAAGGUCUUGCCAGACUCAACCCUUCUCCAGAUGCAAUUCUUUUCUGUCCCAUUUCCUCUUCCCCGAAGACUUAACUAGCUUAGCAGAAACUCUGGUCUAAGCUAUUGCAUGAAUGGAAACUGGAAGCAAGUGGUGAGAUUUUUAAGUACAACUGAAAUGCUAAUAGAAAGAUAUUGGGUACGUCAAUGGAAAAG
ensembl:lncRNA